rnacentral:snRNA from 1 species
AUCAGACACAGUGGCAGUAUCGUAGCCAAUGAGGUUUAUCCGAGGUGCAAUUAUUGCUAAUAGAAAAAUACAAAUAAUUGUAAGGGAAUGUUGUGAAAAAUUAUAUGCCAACAAAUUGG